UACGUAGGGUGCAAGCGUUGUCCGGAAUUAUUGGGCGUAAAGAGCUCGUAGGCGGUUUGUCGCGUCGAAUGUGAAAUCCCGGGGCUCAACCCCGGGUCUGCAUUCGAUACGGGCAGGCUAGAGUUCGGUAGGGGACCACGGAAUUCCUGGUGUAGCGGUGAAAUGCGCAGAUAUCAGGAGGAACACCGGUGGCGAAGGCGGGUCUCUGGGCCGUAACUGACGCUGAGGAGCGAAAGCGUGGGGAGCGAACAGG
rnacentral:rRNA from 1 species